UACGUAGGGUGCGAGCGUUGUCCGGAAUUACUGGGCGUAAAGGGCUCGUAGGCGGUCCAUCGCGUCGGGAGUGAAAGCUGGGGCUUAACCCCAGUCCUGCUUCCGAUACGGGUGGACUAGAGGUAGGUAGGGGAGAUCGGAAUUCCUGGUGUAGCGGUGAAAUGACGCAGAUAUCAGGAAGAACACCGAUGGCGAAGGCAGCUCUCUGGGACGGUACUGACGCUGAGACGCGAAAGCGUGGGGAGCGAACAGG
rnacentral:rRNA from 1 species